ACAGCCCGGGGCCGGCUGCCUCGGGCCCUCCCGCCGGGCCUCCGCGGCCCCCGCCCGCCGCCCCCGGCCCCCCGGGUCCGCUGCCCUCCGCGGCCCCCGCCCCCGGGCGCCCGCGGCUCGCCCGGACCCUCGGCGGGCGCGUCCCCGGCCACUACCUGCACCCGCGCGGGCGCGCGCGCAGCACAUUCACACACGCGCGUGCGCGCGCACACACAUACAGACGCGCGCGCGCGCGCGCACACACACACACACACACACACACACACACGCACGCGCGCAAGCACACACGCGCAGAGGGGUCGGGGCUGCCCCGUCCCGGGCCUCGGCGUGUGCCCCUUGGUAUUCCUGAGGGCUGUGCCUCCCGGGAGCGCGUUUCUAUGCUGUGCAUCUUCUAAAUGGCAAAUCCCUUCGGGGGAAGAGGUGCGGGGGUGGGAAGGUGGGCAGCGGGGUCGAACUUCCAGUGUCUUUGCUUUGGCGCCCCGUGCCGGAGAGGGGAACUGUGGUGUGUGUGUGUGUGUGUGUGUGUGUGUGUGUGUGUGCGCGUGCAUGCAUGUGGCCCCAGGGUGGCGAUCCGAGCCGGGGCACACUGGGGGACUGCCUGCGGUAGGGUUGCCUGUGUGCAUCCAUUUCCAGUGGUGGGGGUCUGGGGGAGUGGUGGUCAGACUCGCGACUGGAUUGUCCAUGGAGUGAUGAUGAGGGAGCCUAGUGGUUGGCUCUCUAAAGAAAGGGAGUUUAUGUAUUUCGGGGGGGGGGGGCGGGCAGGCAAGCUCAAAUGUGUCACACAAGUGCUGCUGCUCUCUAGCCACCAGACCACCGAAAGGAGGGAUCCAGAAGAGUUUCUUGACCAGUGGAUGGUGACAGGUUUGUUUUUCGUCAGCACCAUUUCUUCCAGUAAAAAAAGGAGGGAUACGGAGGGUUGUGCUGUGUGGUUGUUGACAGCGACGGGUUUCUUUUGUUUAAUGAGGCAACCCAGAUGCAGGCCUGAAUUCACAAUAGUUACUACUGAAAACCAGUGCAGCCUCUCAGUUACUCUCCCGGAAACAAAUAGAAACCUUUUGUUUAAAACGGACAGGAUUUUAAUAUCUUUGGGAUCUAGGCUAGAAGGAAAACGGGAAGUGUAGAGCAAAAAUUUCCCUUCAGUCUCUAAAACAAACAAACCAACCAACCAACCAACCAACCAACCCAACAACAACCCAACGUUCUGUCUUCAGACAAAGUUAUCAAGAAAAUGCCAUUUCUCAAAGAGGAAUUCUAUUGAUUAUUAUCUUUUAGAGACUGUUCAGAAUCAAGGAUCAGGGUGCACAUAGGAGCCAGCGUGACCUAACUCUGAGCUAUGGUGGUAGGAAGAAUAAACAGCUUUGCAGUAACAGGCCUGAAAAAUGCCUGCACUUGUGUUCAAGAUAUUUGCGUGUAUAAUAAAUGUUCCUCAGGUCUGGAAGAAAGAAAAAUUGUGUUGUCAAUUCAGAUUGAAGAAGCAUGCGUUUUCUUUCUUGAGCAUUCCAUCUCCUGGUUCAAGGAACCAGUUGCCUUUGGGACUGAACUGCUUGGGUACUGGAUCACUUACAAGAGGGAACAAAAUAUAAUCAUUACAGACAGUUACAAAUGGUUAAUUUACAUGUCAUGCUUUAUGUCUUGAAACCAGAUUAGAUAAAUGUAUACUUGUUUGUAAAGAACAGAAGGCAGAGCAUUGGAUAAAAGAGGUGGGCUUUAGGGAAUGAAGCCAGGGGAGUGGAAAACUGCAUUUGGAAUAUUAAGAUUAAAAAAAAUGUUUUUUUUUUUUUCUCAUUUUGGGCUACUUCUAAUGGCUGAAUAAUGUGUGAUUUAAUAUGUUGCAAAUGCUCAAGAUUGGGAAAAAUAGGGGAAGAGAAAUACACAUAGAGUGUACAAGUGCACGAUUAAGGGAAAAAGCAUGUGUUUUAGAGAGACUUCAGAAUGGAUUUUCUUUUGCCCUGUUUACAGUCUUUGUUUAUGUUUAGCUGUGAAUACAGCAUUUGAGAUCUCUUAAGCCAUCCCUAUUUCCUGAAAUGUGACAGCCCUAGGUGCCAGCAGCUGGAAUUAGAACGCAGGGGGUUUGUCUGUUGGAAGGCCUAGGUUAGAAUAUCUAGGAGGAAGACUUUGAGGGAAAUACACAUAUACGGACAUAAUUACAUACUGUGUAUUGAAAUAACAUAUGAUGUUUUAAAAAAUGCACUUGGAGAUAAUUUUAUGAGAAAAAAAUUAACAGUUUUCCUAUUAAAGUGGUAGUAAUGGGGAACUCGGUCUCUUUUUAGAUAUUUGAGUAGGAUUUAAUACAGCCUUAUGCCAGCCCCCAAGUAUGGCCUAUCAGAAGGAGUGGAAAAUCUGACAUUAAUUUAGCACCUACAUUCAUUAGUAACAUUCAAAAAUUGUACAACUUUUUGUUAGGAACAUGAUCCCUAGGCAUCAUAUACUAUUUCUUACAGCUUUGUGAUCUAGAUAUGUUGCUUUUGUAGCGGAAGGAGUGUGAUACCUACACUAUUUCUACAGUAAAUAGUCUCUCCUAAAUGUAGGGGUGUGUGUAUGUGUGUGUGUUGUGUGUGUGGGCUUCUGAUUUCACAGUUUUUUGAGUCCAGGAGGAAGAUAAUGGUUGACUUGAACCAGAUAUCUGGGAGGGCUUCUGUUUGAGGAGCUGCUCUUGGAUCAGCUGCUUUGAUGAGUUCACUGAAGCUUCCUUUUCCUACCUGUGCAAAGGAGGCUAUGGGUUUUAUCCUUACACAGUUUAAAGAUUUACUGAUGUUUUUAACUACCUUAUUUAAAUCGAGGGUUCAUUCUUAUAUUUAAGUGACAUUCAGUAUAAGGUUAUUGUCAAAGUAAAUUUUAGUUUAAGACAUGACACCAUUUUAGUGGAAAUGGAUUUAUUUGGCAGGUGAUCUUUGCAUUGUUCACAUAAUUAUUUUAUGUGUUAGCGUAAAGAAUUAGAAAGGGAACUACCUAGAUGAAAGUAUAGCAGUAAAAUUGGAAUCGUUUUUGAUACUUACACAGCAAUUAUGACAAUGUAUUUUCCAAUUCUGUACUAAUAUAUUUUGAUUUUUUAUUCUUUUUUAAAUGAACUCAGAAACUUACCACCAUAAAACACCAUAUUUAGUUCUGAAUUGUUGUUUUCUUUACCAUAUUCUUUCUCUGAAUUUAUUUAAAUAAGUAUUUUCCUUGCCAGCUCAAAGAAAAGUUGCAUAUAUACGUAUAUAUGUAAGAGAACAUUUUAACUUGGUUGAAGUUUUAUGUGCUUUGUAGGUAUAAAGUAUAUUGUAUUUCCUCUAAUUGAUCAAUCUUAAUACUAACUAAAUAUUUAUUUAAAUAAAUUUUUGUAACGUUUAUUUAUUUUUGAGAGACAGAGAAUAAGCAGGGGAGGGGCAGAGAGAGAGGGAGACUCAGAAUCUGAAGCAGGCUCCAGGCUCUGAGCUGUCAGCAUAGACCCUAAUGAGAGGCUCGAACACAUGAACUGUGAGAUCAUGACCUGAGCCAAAGUUGGAUGCUUUGGUGUGCCCAACUGAGCUACCCAGGCUCCCCUAAAUAUUUCUAUUUGUAGUACAUAGGUCACACUAUUGAAUAUUAAUGUGUCUUUAAGUCUGUGUAUAACAAAUGGCUUUGAAUCCCUGCAUUCAGUCACAGAUAUUCAUGCAGAAAAUUUUUUUAGUUCCUUGAAAAUAUCUUUUCCCUCUUAAAUCUGUUCUUACUUUACAUGUUUUUAAAAUCUUUACUCUUUAGAUCUUAAUCAUCAAAUGGGAAGAUUGAGCAAACCUUUUUAAUUGAUUGAGUUCCACCUAUUGAAAAUAGGCAGAGUUUAGGCCAGUCUUACAUGGAAGAAUGUAUGUUCUUUAUCUUCUAACUGAAUUACAUAUAUGAUUGUAGAUUUUCUUCCUCUUCUAGGCCAGUAGCUUAUGAGGUUAGGGAUUGUGUCUGUACUGCUCACUGUCAUAGUCCAACUUCUAGCACAAUACCUAACUCCUAGAAUGCUCUCAAUAAAUGUUUGUUGAGUGAGUACAUUUAUUUAUGACCCCCCCACCCCCCGACAAAUUAGGAGCAUAAAGUAAUGAAUAAAUUAUGGAAACACAGGGAUAUGUAAUGCUUUUAAUCUGUGGCAGAUAAAAUCAUGAUCUUUAAAAAAUUGAAUGUAACUCUUUGAGCCUGUUGGAUGUAAGUGCAUUCCAGGAUAGAAAGUGUUAAUGUAAGUUGUUACAUCACACAUUGAACCAGUGUAUUACAGUUCUGUGCUGGAUGAAUUUGGGAAUGGUAACAGUCAUGCUUAAAGUAUGAAAGUUUAAAAGAAAAAAAAAAGAAACCAUUUGAUAUCUUGCUUUUUAUCGUGUAGAAGCUGUCAUCUUCUGGUCAUACACUUUCUCCAUGAUAUACUCAACAGAGUGAAUUUUAAAUUCUCCAGCAUACAGGUGGCAGUUGCACAGAUUUUUAUGAUUUAUCUGUACAGUUAAAUGAGAACCACAAUGAUUAAAUACAGAGUUUUAAGAGUUGCAGAUGGAGGGCGCCUGGGGGGCUCAGUGGGUUAAGCAUCUGACUCUUGAUUUCGGCUCAGGUCAUAAUCUUACAGUUUAUGUGUUCAAGCCCCAUGUCAGGCUCUGUGCUGACAGUGUGGAGCCUGCUAGGGACUUUCUCUCUCUCUCUCUCUGUCUCUGUCUCUGUCUCUCUGCGCCCCUCCCCCAUGCACUUGUGCUCUCUCAGAAAAUCAAUAAAGUUAAAAAGAUGGACAAACAUGAAAAAAAUUAAAAAAGAAUGGCAGAUGGAAUAUUUUUAAUUGAGAGGUAUAUAUUUGUACUGAAAACUGUGCAGUUACAGAGCAAGAAGGCUGGGAAUUGCCUGGCAGAUUGUGGCUGUGGAUAAAAGCGCCUGCCCCACGACCCCUCUGUAGAGUUCACUGGAGAAGAAUGGGGAUGUUGAUGGUCUGAGUUAACCUAGAAGUUAGUGGCUGUCUAGGACGGCCCUUCAGAACCAGGGAAGGCAAGGAUCCCUGUGCGCAGCCCUAACGACAGCAUCUCCCUGGAAAUACCAAACGAUGGUGUUCAUGAGGCUGCUUUAAAACCAACCAGUUUUAUUUUUGUUACUCUUUUGGCUUCCAAGUGUUAAAUAUGUUUCUAAAUGUCAGGAUUUAUUUGGAUGCAUUUCCUCUUUUUCUUUUCUGGUUUUUUGUUUUUGUUGUUGUUGUUUGAAACACGGGACUUACAGUUUCUCUCCGAAGGGUGGAGUGUUAGCAUCCCUCAUAAGAAUCGGAAUUGUAGCUCUGACUACAGCAAAGCCUUCAGAGUAAGAUUUUUGCUUUGAGCCACGUAGAUCCAUUGUCUAGAUCUGCCGUGGAACUCAUCCUUCUGCUUACAUGUCAUUUCUUCCUAUGGGAGCUUUGGCACAUGUUAAAACCAUGCUGAACAGUGAAGUUAUCCCCUAUACAUCGAUUCAGAUUUUUUAGGUAAAUUUAGAAAGGAGAACCAGAAGAAUAAUUUAGUGGCCAUUUUGUUUAUUACAAAUAAAUUUGAUAGCCUCCUUCUCAUUAAAAAACAACAACAAUAACAACAGCAACACAGCUCCACUUUAUAGGAGAUGGUUUAUAUUCGAUUUUGUAGGUGCCUAUUCAAUAUAGUCAUGAUUUUUAUUACAGAUGAAUUUUUAAGGACCUGAAACAGCUUUCACAGUUGUGUGGCUGCGUGCUAUGCUAAACUUAGCAGAAAAAAGGAACAGAUUUUUCUUCAUGAUCCAGGCAAACUUACACUUGAGAAGAAAUGAACUAGAUUUUCCAAGGAUGAUUUUGAUUCCAGCAUUCAUGUUAAUUUUUCUUUAAGGGGAGGUUAUUAGUUCUGUUGACAUUAAUGGAAAUGUUGAUUGGGUGUUGUAGAGGAAAAGCAGGGAACUCAAAUGGUACAUCUUGGGAGAGAGAAGCCAUUUUAAGAAGGUUAGGAUUGCUUUCUUCCUAAGGAGGUAGAGGGAGGGAGCCUGUUUGCUCCACACACUGUUUUGGCUUGAGGGAAAUACAAGUAUUUGUAGCAACAAAUUUAAAGUCUAAUUUCCUUGUUUCAGCUGGGAGGGUGAUGACAUUUUUCAAAAGGAAACUGGUAUCAUGGCUUUUAAGCAAUGUUAAGAUCUUUGCAGAAUUCAUCCUAGGGAAGUGUGAAAUAGCAAUAGAAGGUAAAAAGUGUGAUUGCUGGUAAUUAAAUCUGUGGCAAUAACUGACUUCAGUAAACAGUGAAUGUUUUCUCCUGUGCUGCCGAAUGGAGUAACAUUGAAGACAGAGCUGUUCUCAGACCCAAACACUGUUUUACGUGAACAGCUGUUACUAAUAAAAUGAUAGGAAGUUGUUCCACGAUCACCUUUGAUUUGUAAUGUUACCGAUAUGUAAAAAUCUGUCUGAUUUCUCAUCUAUCAUGCAGUAAAAAGAAAAAAAAUGACCUAACCAUGCUGUUGGAAAUGAGUUCCUAAAUUCUAGGUGGUUGGCCAUGGAUCUGGACUUGACAAACAAAAAUAUCCGUAUUUUGAUGCUGAGAACCAAAAUCUGAAUUCACUGACUAGCUCUGGGGUUGACCUUUAUACCUAGCAAUAAUUUCUGAGAUCAGAGCAGAAUAUUUUGUUAAAAGACUUCAUGGUUAAAUUUUAAGAACAAAAUUCGUGUGAUUUAAAAAUAAAGUUAAGAACAUACUUCAAAUUCAUUUAUUCCACAAACACUUGUCAGUUAUUGGAAAAUAAACACUUCCUCCAAUUUUUUUUUUAAAUCAGGCAUAUCUUAUGAAAGAACAGCUGCAUAGAGAAUGCUGGUCAAAUGAGCAAGUAUUAAGCCCCUCAUUGAUGCAAAAUAAUGUGCUGUGUGAGAUACUCCUUAUUUCAUACUCGCCAGCAACGAAGACUACAAGUACUUUUCACAGUUUUGCUGUUUCCCAGUAGACGCCCUCAGACAGACAUGUCCUUCUGAGUUUUAUCCUUCCUGGCAUUGGCUUUUCUAUUGGCUCUUAAUACAGAGAAGAAACCAAAAUAAUCUCAAGGCCAUUGUACAAGCUUCCCGGGGAUUACACAACUGGAGAAAGCAGAUGAUCUUGAGAAUUAACUUCCUAGGAGUGUAUCGGCAAGAAUGCCUUCAACCAUGAGAAGUCAUUACUGACCGACCACUUGCCCUGAGCACUAACUGGGUUGGAAGCUCCUUGAGGCCAAAGAUGGCGGCUUUGGUCUUGUUUAGUUUUGUUUGGUUUUGUUUUGUUUUUUGUAUCCCAGCAUAGACAAAGCCUUGCUCAGUUCACAGUGAUUCUGUUGUCAGUAACUGGGGGCUUGUGGGCACAGAAGGGUGGGCAGCUGGAUUCUCCAAAGAAAGGGCAAUCAGAGGACAUGAAUGUACACUUCUUGCUUCCGUCUAACGUGCAUCAUCCACAUGUUCUCCAUUUGCCACACUCCUCUUUGCCGUUUCGUGGGCCACCUGGGGCACGGUGAAAGCAGUUGGGUUUUAACAACGGAAUAGUCUUUGUCUCCCGGUCCUGCUUCUCAUUCAUUGUCUAGCGGGAGUGAUUCAGUUGAGCGUUCUCAUAUUGUUUCAGCCUGAAAAGCCGAUAGAAGCGUAUGCAGCAGUUUGAAUGGAAAACUGUUACACAGGUCCUUUGAAAUUUAAAAAUUCCAUGCACCUUUAUUACAGGAUUAAUUUUGGAUCGUGAGCAGUUGGGACUACUUAAGAAACAAAGUAGUUGUUUCAAGGAAGUGCCGAAUAGAUUGUGGUGCGGUUGGGAACAGGAAUGUCAUUAAUGCCAUUGUAUUCCUGAAACCUCACAGAAAGGAACAAUAAUUGAUCCACAGAAAGAGCGAGAGUGAGACUUUUUGGCUCUGUUGCAGGAAGUGAAUAGUGAUGUUUAGAAACACAGUCAUGCAUAAUUCUAAAAUAGCCUUGAGUUUUUUUCCCUUUAGAGAACUGAAAUCAUGUAUUAAUUGCCUCUUCCUGGAAUUUGACUUUUUUUUUGAUCACCACUAGUUGUUAAAAAAUCAAGAGUUUUUCUUUUGCUUUUUUACAUUUUCAAGACUCUGAUGAAAUCUUUAUUUUUAUUGUUUCUUCCCUACCUUUCUUUUUUCUGUUAGGGCAAGCAGGGUGAUUGCUGGCAUCUUCUGUAUACUUCCUGGUGACUGCAACUAAAGAUCAGCACUUUGGGGCACCUGGGUGGCUCAGUCGGCUAAGCGUUCUACUUCGGCUCAGGUCAUGAUCUCAUGGUUGGUGGGUUCCAGCCCUGUGUCGGGCUCAGUGUUGACAGCUCGGAGCCUGGAGCCUGCUUAGGAUUGAUUCUGUGUCUCCCUCUGUCUCUUCCCCUUGUUUGCUCACACUCUGUUUCUCUCUCUCUCUCUCUCUCUCUCUCUCUCUCUCAAAAGCAAACAUUUAAAAAAAUAAGACAAGCAUUUGAGUGGCUUACCCGCCCGUUAUUCCAGCUGUUUGCUACAGCCCCCUUCUGUGCAAACACCGCCCAUUCAUUUACCCUUUCAUCCCAGUGCCCUUUGGUGCCAGGAGGGGUUUCUUAGACUCCCUGGCAUGCACAUUUCUUUAAGAUUUAGGGAACUUCCAAGUUGGUGCUUCCUUCAAACAUGUGGCUGUGAGCUGGUGAGGGGAAGUUGGGUGCUUUACUACACUAAAAGGGCACUUGUGAAUGUGCUUGUAGGAGAUAAUUAACUCUCUUUAGCAACACUUGAGUCCCCGGAACAAAAUACAUUGUUACUGAACAAAAUGUAGAAUUCUCCUUCCUUUUCCAGAGGGCAGGGACUGGAGACCGGUUCACGAUUCCCAGCAGAGAGUGAGUGAGCCAGUGCUGGAUAAUCUAUCACACCCCACUGGGUUUCAAAAUAGGAUGCAGCGCGUUUGCUAGAAAGGAGGACGGUGCGUGUAGGCCUGUGUGGAGUAAGAGCGAAUCUUCCCCAUUUUCAUGAUGUGAGCAUUCUCAUCUCCGUACCUAGAGAGCCUUAAAGCCCCUCUAAUUGUAUUUCUGUACAGAUGGUGGGGGGGGGGGGGUAGCAUCAGCAGAGGCCUUUGCUUUUGUUACACCCAGUCAGCCUGAGCAUGUUUUGGGGUUUGUUUUUUUAAGGCAAAGAUACAGUGUUAGUUUCUGACCCUCUGAGCGGAUAUUUUAGGACCUCCCCUUUCCAGAGCGGCUUCAUUAUACUACACGUUCUUUCUGCAGAUGGUAAGUGCAGUUUUCCUCUUGUCCUAAAGAGCUGACCCAUUUCCUGUGACUUGUUCUAAUAAUACAGGAUGACUUUAAUUCUUGUUCCUAGUUUGCCCUUAAAAGAAUGCCAGGGUGCUUGCUACGGAUUUAACUCUUGUCUUUCUAACACUCGUGAUAUUUUUUGAGAAUUGGUCAAGCACACAGAAGCAGUAGCAGGCACUGUGGAAGUUUAUUUGGGUAAAUAAAUACCCCCCCCCCCCCACACACACACAUUGGUUUAGUUUUGUGUGUUUUUUCUAAAACCUGUAACUAAAGGGAGGUCAAGCGGUCGGUCCUGCCCUACAUCUCUUUGAACUAUUGUGAAGGUGUUUCUUCAGGGAACAGGAUUUGUU